rnacentral:rRNA from 1 species
CGGACGGGUGAGUAACACGUGGGUAACCUACCUAUAAGACUGGGACAACUUCGGGAAACCGGAGCUAAUACCGGAUAAGAUAUCGAACCGCAUGGUUCGAUAGUGAAAGAUGGUUUUGCUAUCACUUAUAGAUGGACCCGCGCCGUAUUAGCUAGUUGGUGAGGUAACGGCUCACCAAGGCAACGAUACGUAGCCGACCUGAGAGGGUGAUCGGCCACACUGGAACUGAGACACGGUCCAGACUCCUACGGGAGGCAGCAGUA